rnacentral:lncRNA from 7 species
GUUGUUAUUGCUGUUUUAAAUAGCGCUAUCUUACUAUAUUUAUCUACAUAUAUUAACUUAGAUAAAAUAUAACGAUUAACGGGUCAUGUGCUAUAAAUUACAUUUUAUAUGUGCUUUAUUUACAUUUUUAUCGACAAUUAGUCAUUUGCACGUGUCAUGUUUUCUGCUAUCUAUUCAUCUAGCUAAAUAAAUAUAACGAUUAA